rnacentral:pre_miRNA from 1 species
GGAUCCAUCUUACCUGACAGUGCUGGAUUGUACAACUGUUGCUCUAACACUGUCUGGUAACGAUGUUUCC